rnacentral:rRNA from 1 species
CGUAUCACCCAAGACAACUUUACGGAGUUGACGAUUGACGGAGCGAAGCGACGUCAAAGCGUUCAUUAAAGUCGAGUUGGCUUAGGGAUACGUUCGUUGGGUAGGGGAGCGUUCUGUAAGCCUGUGAAGGUGUGUCGUGAGGCAUGCUGGAGGUAUCAGAAGUGCGAAUGCUGACAUAAGUAACGAUAAAGCGGGUGAAAAGCCCGCUCGCCGGAAGACCAAGGGUUCCUGUCCAACGUUAAUCGGGGCAGGGUGAGUCGACCCCUAAGGCGAGGCCGAAAGGCGUAGUCGAUGGGAAACGGGUUAAUAUUCCCGUACUUGGUGUUACUGCGAAGGGGGGACGGAGAAGGCUAUGUUGGCCGGGCGACGGUUGUCCCGGUUUAAGCGUGUAGGUGUGUGUUCCAGGUAAAUCCGGUUCACUUUAACACUGAGGCGUGACGACGAGGCACUACGGUGCUGAAGCAACAAAUGCCCUGCUUCCAGGAAAAGCCUCUAAGCAUCAGGUAACAUCAAAUCGUACCCCAAACCGACACAGGUGGUCAGGUAGAGAAUACCAAGGCGCUUGAGAGAACUCGGGUGAAGGAACUAGGCAAAAUGGUGCCGUAACUUCGGGAGAAGGCACGCUGACACGUAGGUGAAGUGAUUUACUCAUGGAGCUGAAGUCAGUCGAAGAUACCAGCUGGCUGCAACUGUUUAUUAAAAACACAGCACUGUGCAAACACGAAAGUGGACGUAUACGGUGUGACGCCUGCCCGGUGCCGGAAGGUUAAUUGAUGGGGUCAGCGCAAGCGAAGCUCCUGAUCGAAGCCCCGGUAAACGGCGGCCGUAACUAUAACGGUCCUAAGGUAGCGAAAUUCCUUGUCGGGUAAGUUCCGACCUGCACGAAUGGCGUAAUGAUGGCCAGGCUGUCUCCACCCGAGACUCAGUGAAAUUGAACUCGCUGUGAAGAUGCAGUGUACCCGCGGCAAGACGGAAAGACCCCGUGAACCUUUACUAUAGCUUGACACUGAACAUUGAGCCUUGAUGUGUAGGAUAGGUGGGAGGCUUUGAAGUGUGGACGCCAGUCUGCAUGGAGCCGACCUUGAAAUACCACCCUUUAAUGUUUGAUGUUCUAACGUGGACCCGUAAUCCGGGUUGCGGACAGUGUCUGGUGGGUAGUUUGACUGGGGCGGUCUCCUCCUAAAGAGUAACGGAGGAGCACGAAGGUUGGCUAAUCCUGGUCGGACAUCAGGAGGUUAGUGCAAUGGCAUAAGCCAGCUUGACUGCGAGCGUGACGGCGCGAGCAGGUGCGAAAGCAGGUCAUAGUGAUCCGGUGGUUCUGAAUGGAAGGGCC